UUUGUACCCCGAAUCCAUGUGGUGGUUUCUAACCAUUCCUAACUCCAGUUCCAGGGGAAUAUAAUUUCUUCUGAUCUCCAUGGGCACCAGCAUACAUGUACAUAUUCAUUCAGAAAUGAAGGCACACGAGGAGCCAAGAACACACAGCCAAGUUAGAGCAAAUGAAGAGCAAUUCAGGUAACUCAAGACACUACAGCUUUCCUACAUCCAGACAUGUUUUGUAUUCAACUGUUGAAGGAUAUCAUCAUGGAAAUAAAAUUUCAGCAGAGGGACCAUCAGUUUGACAA